AAGACUAUAUUUUCAGGGAUCAUUUCUAUAAUUUGUUACUAGAGAAGUUUCUCUGAAUGUGUAGAGCAUGGCACGGGGGACAGAGAAGAGUCACUGUUCAUUUCAGUCCUC
rnacentral:snoRNA from 1 species